rnacentral:rRNA from 1 species
UUAACUUGGGAGUCAGAACAUGGGUGAUAAGGUCCGUGUUCGAAAGGGAAACAGCCCAGACCACCAGCUAAGGUCCCAAAAUAUAUGUUAAGUGGAAAAGGAUGUGGCGUUGCCCAGACAACUAGGAUGUUGGCUUAGAAGCAGCCAUCAUUUAAAGAGUGCGUAAUAGCUCACUAGUCGAGUGACACUGCGCCGAAAAUGUACCGGGGCUAAACAUAUUACCGAAGCUGUGGAUUGUCCUUUGGACAAUGGUAGGAGAGCGUUCUAAGGGCGUUGAAGCAUGAUCGUAAGGACAUGUGGAGCGCUUAGAAGUGAGAAUGCCGGUGUGAGUAGCGAAAGACGGGUGAGAAUCCCGUCCACCGAUUGACUAAGGUUUCCAGAGGAAGGCUCGUCCGCUCUGGGUUAGUCGGGUCCUAAGCUGAGGCCGACAGGCGUAGGCGAUGGAUAACAGGUUGAUAUUCCUGUACCACCUAUAAUCGUUUUAAUCGAUGGGGGGACGCAGUAGGAUAGGCGAAGCGUGCGAUUGGAUUGCACGUCUAAGCAGUAAGGCUGAGUAUUAGGCAAAUCCGGUACUCGUUAAGGCUGA